UACAGAGGUCUCAAGCGUUGUUCGGAUUCAUUGGGCGUAAAGGGUGCGUAGGCGGCGCGGUAAGUCGGGUGUGAAAUCUUGGAGCUUAACUCCGAAACUGCAUUUGAUACUGGCGUGCUUGAGGACUGGAGAGGAGACUGGAAUUCAUGGUGUAGCAGUGAAAUGCGUAGAGAUCAUGAGGAAGACCAGUGGCGAAGGCGGGUCUCUGGACAGUUCCUGACACUGAGGCACGAAGGCCAGGGGAGCAAACGGG
rnacentral:rRNA from 1 species